AACACAUGCAAGUCGAGCGGAAAGGCCACUUCGGUUGUACUCGAGCGGCGAACGGGUGAGUAACACGUGAGUAAUCUGCCCCUGGCUUUGGGAUAGCCACCGGAAACGGUGAUUAAUACCGGAUAUGACAGCUUCUCGCAUGAGAUGGUUGUGGAAAGUUUUUCGGCCAGGGAUGUGCUCGCGGCCUAUCAGCUUGAUGGUGAGGUAAUGGCUCACCAUGGCUUCGACGGGUAGCCGGCCUGAGAGGGUGACCGGCCACACUGGGACUGAGACACGGCCCAGACUCCUACGGGAGGCAGCAGUGGGGAAUAUUGGACAAUGGGCGGAAGCCUGAUCCAGCAACGCCGCGUGAGGGAUGACGGCCUUCGGGUUGUAAACCUCUUUCGGUGGGGACGAAGCGCAAGUGACGGUACCUG
rnacentral:rRNA from 1 species